AUGUUCAAAAAAAUGUUUCUCAAUCCAUAGGUCUAGACCAAAAACCUGUUGUAAAGCAGAUAAUGUAUGCAACAUGAUAAUAACAUCCGUUCAUUUUCCAGGUCCAAAUUAUAUGAGAUUGAUAACAUUUAAUUUGCUUGUAAAGCACCUAGCAUGUCUAAAGCUAUUUCUGUAUCACUUUUAUAAUUUGCAAUAGCAAACAUCAUUGUUUUUUCUAACCUGUUUAAGGCAAAGUUCUUCGUGUCAGGUGAAAUUUCUAAGUAUGUAUAAUCUGAAACGCAUUUAGGGAUUUCAG
rnacentral:lncRNA from 1 species